rnacentral:lncRNA from 1 species
CUAAGUCAGUGAGGAGAAGUUUGUUGAAAGAUCUUGCUCAGCAGCUUGGUGCCGAUGAAGAUAUAGAAAAGCUUAUUGAUGAUGAAAAUAUAGAGCAGGAAGCUCCAGUUGACGUUGUCGGACAAGAUUGUAAUGAUGGGAAUUUUACUUGCACGUCUGAGGAGUCAUGCUCCACUGGAAGUGCUGCUAGUGAACAGAAUUCGUCUAUUUUCUCAGAUCCUCCAAGCCCUAUUAGUGAUAAAUUUUACUUGCACGUCUGAGCAGUCAUGCUCCACUGGAAGUGCCGCUAGUGAACAGAAUUCGUCUAUUUUCUCAGAUCCUCCAAGCCCUAUUAGUGAUGCAAAUGAUCACGAAAAUAGAUCUGAAAGAAGUAGUGUUGCAUCAAAUUUCUCAGCCGAUGAAAUUGAUGCUGAUGUAAAUAGUGGUGAGGCAUCUUGUACCAAUCUAGAAGUCUCACCUCUCCCUGUUUCUGUUCCGCCUCAGCAGACCUUGCUAAAAUCUGAAGAAAGUGUCGACUCUGGGGGAAAAGGUCCAGUAGGCUUCAAGGAGCGGAAACUUCUAUCUGGUAAAUUUCAGUGGUUAUGGAAAAUGAUGCUGAUGGAAAUAGUGGUGAGGCAUCUUGUACCAAUAUAGAAGUCUCACCUCUCCCUAUUUCUGUUCCCCCUCAGCAGACCUCGCUAAAAUCUGAAGAAAGUGCCGACUCUGGGGAAAAAGGUCCAGUAGGCUUUAAGGGGCGGAAACUUCUAUCUGGUAAAUUUCAGUGGUUAUGGGAAUUUGGACGAAAUGGUGGUGAGGAGACGUCUGAAAAAGGU